AUUUCUGGACCAUGGAAGACAUCUGGUCUAUGCAGCUACUUAAUGGAGAUUAAGUACAAAACCAUAUAUAUAUAUAUACUCUAGUUUGCCCUAAAUAUUAGGUUUGUCUAUAGUUGAAGCCUUAGUAUUUUCUAUAUGAUAAGGUCGAACCAUAUAUUCACUGCUGUAAUAUAAUGUUUCUACCUCUAUAUCUAUAUACAUACAUACAUAAGUAUCUAUACCUAUAUCUAUAUAUAUGGUAUAUGUUUUGUUUCUAUGCUAAAUGAUACACACAAUAUAUAUACAUACAUAUAAGCUUGUGGACCACAAUUUUUGUUCAUAUAGUGGAAAAUAUGUACGUGCUGAAAAAAGAUUGGAGGCCCCAAGUUGACAACGGAUUCGAUGACCUUUUCCCGAUUUGAGCCAUGUUCUUUUCAUAAGAUUGGUUCAUCACUCAACUGCGACAUCGCACAUUAAAGAAAUGAUUAUGUUUGUCUUGGGCUACCUUCUAUUGAUGCCAAGGCUCUAACAAUACUUUUUAGCCGUUCCACCUAAAUCAUAUCUAUAAAGUUAUUUGCUUAUUCAUGGAGUUUGAAGUUUCUUUAGGCCCACAAUUGAACUCAUGACAGGAAAAUUUUCAAGGAUGGAG
rnacentral:lncRNA from 1 species